AGUGAACGCUGGCGGUAGGCCUAACACAUGCAAGUCGAACGGCAGCACAGUAAGAGCUUGCUCUUACGGGUGGCGAGUGGCGGACGGGUGAGGAAUACAUCGGAAUCUACUUUUUCGUGGGGGAUAACGUAGGGAAACUUACGCUAAUACCGCAUACGACCUACGGGUGAAGGCAGGGGAUCUUCGGACCUUGCGCGAUUGAAUGAGCCGAUGUCGGAUUAGCUAGUUGGCGGGGUAAAGGCCCACCAAGGCGACGAUCCGUAGCUGGUCUGAGAGGAUGAUCAGCCACACUGGAACUGAGACACGGUCCAGACUCCUACGGGAGGCAGCAGUGGGGAAUAUUGGACAAUGGGCGCAAGCCUGAUCCAGCCAUACCGCGUGGGUGAAGUAGGCCUUCGGGUUGUAAAGCCCUUUUGUUGGGAAAGAAAAGCAGCAGGUUAAUACCCCGCUGUUCUGACGGUACCCAAAGAAUAAGCACCGGCUAACUUCGUG
rnacentral:rRNA from 1 species